GAGAGCCUGGAUUGUAGGCCAUGAUGCUGUUCAUGAAGGAGCUUGGCUCUGGAGUGAUGGUUCCAAAUUUAACUACCAAAUAUGGUUUUCUGGAGAUCCCAAUGACGAUGGUAAUGAGGACUGCCUUGAGAUGAACUUCGCAAGUGGCAAAUGGAAUG